GUCCCGUUAGGCGGGAGGGGCGCGUCCGGAGCGCGGUCUGACCUUGGGUGUCCUUGCGGGCGUGUCUUUCCGGGCAGGUGGUGCGCGCAGGUGCUGGCUAGCGGCAGCGUUACGUAGCCUUUAGGAGCUCAAGCUGUGGGCAGACUUUUGUGGUUUGUGUAAACUUGGGCAUCUUGUCCUUUUCCUCUCCAUGCCUCAGUUUCUUCAUUUACGACAUGGAAGUGAAGAUGGCAGCUACCUCAUGACUGGUGCAGAGUGUUCCGAACUAGGCAGUGAGCAUACUAAAAAGGAGUGAUGGGUUUUCUAGGGUGAGAAAGGGGCAUCCUGGUUAGGGGGAGAUGGGCAGGUGCUAACAGAAAUAAUAACAACAGUAACAUUCAGCCCUGAUGUGCUAGCACUGUGCUAAGUGCUUUACUUUCUUCAGCUCAUUUUAUUGUCCUAACAAAGUACCAGCCUCUUGCUUAUGAGUCGUCCACUCUCCGGGUACUCCUGGGAUGGCAGGAGCAGCCAUGGACCCAUCUUGACAUGGCAGUUCCUGCUGCAGCUGUGAAGGGGGUGGCCUGGCUCGGGGGACUGCACAAGAACGAGACCCACGUGAAUUACAAGCUCCCCCCAGGUAAAUCCUAAAGCACCCCUGGACAAGGCCUGAGACCACCAACCUGCUGUGUAACAGCGAGAAGUGCUGGGACAAUUUGCAUGACACCGAAGUCCCUCACAGCAGCAGACCUCCAGAGACAGUGGCAUGGGGCUACCACCCGGAGAGGGAAGAAGGCAGUGGAACUCCCCGUGGAGAGGGAACCUGGAGAAGGGGUAGUCUAUUUGUGUCUCAGGAGAGAAGAAGGGUAAGGCACCCCACUGUUCUUGGAUGCUGAAGACAGAGGUGGCACUACAGUCAGAACGCUGACAGACAAGCUGAUACCUGGGCUCACACAUGUAGGUCAAGCCCAAGGGUUGGUGGUGGACCCUUCUAGCCCGGAGCCCAGAACACGUCCUAUGUUCAAUGUGAGCAUCAUCCAAAAUCAGCAUGUCGGCACCUUUCUGGUGGCCUAAUCUCAAGAGAGCCCACGAAGGAAAUGUGGUGCCAUGCAGCAAGAGCAAUCUACUUGCAGUACUAGAACCAGGCCUAGUGACCUGCCCGGAGGGCGCUGGCCCCAGCUAGUUUCAGGCACUGGAGAGAGGCUUAUAAAAUUUAGAGGCAGGCAUGCACACAGGGCCCAGAGUCUCCACUUGCAGGGUCUAAGGGCAGGACUGAAGAAAGCUAUGUCUCCUAUGGGAGCAUAUGCUAUAGUUGGGCUUGGUCCUCAUCUGGUCUGAUGACCUUGGUUUUUUAAUUCUCUGGCAUCUUGGCCUCUCAAAUCUCAAGUGCCUCAGCAGCUUUCUGAUGCCUCCAAAUAAAUAUUUUUUGUCUUUUAUUGAAUUUUUUAGUUGUUCUCAGCAGGAACAUUGGUCUGCUAAAAGCUUCUCUGUCAUCACCCAAAGCAGAAGUUUCUCUAAAUAGAUUAUUGUUUCUCCUCCAACGUGUAACAAAAACCAAUUUGAAUGCAGGCAUCGUUUUUGUGAACAGAGAAGAGUUCCCUCAUAUCUUUUCCUCAUCAUGCAGGAUGACCACUUCACAUAGAGUCAUCAUAUGUCAUCACAGGAUCAGUGACACUUGAGGUUCAGGAAGAAAGAUAGCUUUCAAAAACCUAAAAAUAAAAGGUACUAUGUAGGACACAAUAACUGUAAACACCAAAUUACCUGGGGGAGCCUUCCUUGCCCAUGGACCAGGUAACUAUAAUUCUCCACUAUCACAUCUCCACACAGAGUCCUCUGAGCAGGACCCAGGUGCUGUCACUCUUGCCAGGUGAAGUCCUCAGCCUCAUCCUCAAAUGUCACUGAUCCUGCAGUGACACGUGAUGGCUCCAUCUGAAGUGGUCAUCUGUUGGAGGAGGUAAUCGAGAGGACAUGACCACCAGUUGGCCCAAAGCUGGACCAACAGCUUUGGCAACAGUUCCUAGCGGUGUGCACAGCACUUCUCCAGGCAGAGCCUCUCACGAAGGAGCAGCAUAGCAUGUUGGACUGUUCUAAAGGGAUUAACCCUUUGGCUCGGAAAAAGAGAAGCUAAGGUGUGGAUGGAUGACCAUGAAAAAGACCUUGUGGGGUCAAGAUAUGUGGAAAGACAUUUGGGUUCACCUACAAGAGCCUGAGGCAAUCCUCGCUGCCUUCCACGUCCCAGCUUAUAAGGAGCUGACAUUCCCUGGCAAUCACAAAGCUGAUGCCUUAGCCCAGGAAUGAGCCUUAGCAACUAACCCUUCAGUAAAUACAGCAGAUUUGGUGCAUAAGAAAGAACGGCCACUGUAAUGCCUGGGUAGGAUGGCAUAUUGCCAAGGAUGCCGGAUUGUCCUUGAAAUACAGUGACUUGGUUAAUGUAGUAACAGAACGUCCUAAAUAAUGCCCAAGGCAGCUGCCCAACUCUGGGGCCAUCCACCAGAGUUCCCAACCAGUGAAGGAUUGGCAAAUUGAUUAUAUUAGCCCCCUCCCUCCAAGGGAGAGUUUUAAAUAUGCCUUGGUUUGUGUGGACACUGUGUCUGGCCUAACCCAAGCUUUCCCCUGUCACUGUACAAACCAGACUACCACCACUAGAGGAUUUGAGAAGCUGAGUACUAUGGACGAAUACCCUUGUUGAACAGACAGUGAUCAGGGGUCACAUUUCAAAGGUCAUGAUGUGCAAGACUGGGCAAAAGAACAUGCCACUGAAUGGAGGUUCCAUCUCCCCUAUAACCCGCAAGCAGCAGGGCUGGGAGAAAGGAAGAACGGAACGUUAAACCAGCAGAUUAAAUUACUAACAGGUAAAACCACCUUGGCCAGGUGGACUAAAGUACUGUCCCAGGCUUUAAUACACUUGAAUGAUCAACCAGUAGGGUCUAUUGUCCCAUAUGCCAGACUGGGGACCCUUGCCGAGACACUCAACACUGUCAAGGUAUGGAAGUCGCAGGACAUAGCCACUGCCCCGACCCUCACUGUGGAUCAUUGUGCUAUGCUGCUGAGAACACCAAGCCCCAUCCCGCCUGGGAAAGGCAUUAACUACUGGAAUUUGCAAUAGGACAUCCCACCGGGAUGGGUGAGUUAUUUCACACCCCUGGGUGAGGGGAACUACUCAAUCCCCACUGGGAUCCUGUUGUCUUGGUGUGAGCCAGACCUGUUGAAACGCACUCUGCCUGGAAUGGAACGUGCACCAUAGAAAGAGGGGAGAAGGCAGGAGUCCUAGGCCAUAUCCUCACACCUGACAGUGCUGCCUCCCCUGGCAUGUAUGGUGUGCAGAACUGGUCAAGUUCCUAAUGCCCCCAACCUCCCUCUCCUCGAGGCCAUAUGGGCAUGUUCUGUUUUCCACUGAUACAAUCAUUUGGCUGUCAUCUUUAUCCCCUCCAUUGGCCUGGAGGAUGUCACAGCACACAUAGAAGCCCUAACUGAAUCUGUCCAAUAAGCCUUAAAUGAUAGCCAGCAAACUCUGUCCUUACUGAACACUGAAAUGUCUCUAAAAGCUGUCCUCCAAAGUUGGAUGGCCUUGGACAUUAUUACUGCCCCACAAGGAGGCACCUGUGCCAUUAUCCAAACAAUGUUGUAUGUUCAUACCUGAUGAGUCUGCUAAUGUAUCAUCUUUACUAAAUCACAUGAGGCCACAAGUGAACGCCCUGGGGGAUCCAACCCCCAGCCUAGGGGGAAUUAACAAAUCAGUGGUUUGGAUCAUGGGGCUCUUGGUGGAAAAAACUGUUACUUGUUUUGAGAAUUAUGUUAAUCUGUGUUUCUCUUACAUGUGCCUAUACUGUUGCUGGGGCAUCUGCCUCCAAUACAGCCACAUAACCUCCAAAUGAGCCACCUAUGCUCCAUGAAACCCCUUGCUGACUGCUCAAGGCACAUGGCAGAAGAGGGGAGCGUGUAAGAUUGUAAGAGCUGGUCAUGAGGGGUGGAGUAUUGGAGGUCAUGAAGAGGAUGUGACCACUGGUUGACCCAUGAGCUGGACCUGGACAAUGGAAGGCUCCUUACCCCCUCCCCUGUCCUUGGAACGUACAUUCUGCCCAUCCCAAGGAUGCAGCCUUGAGAGAGCAAUGUGUUGCUGAGACCAUCUGGAUGGUGUAUGUGAUUGAACCAGUUAUGGCCUCUAUAUGAACUUUUAAGAUUCUGGCAGGCGGGAGGUAGAGAUCUACUCACCUUGUGGCCGCCCAGGACAAACCUUAUAAGUAAGCUCCUUUGCUUAUUAAACCUGCCAUCCAGGGGCCGGCCCCGUGGCUGAGUGGUUAAGUUCGCGCGCUCCGCUUCGGCGGCCCAGGGUUUCGCCAAUUCCAGUCCUGGGCGCAGACAUGGCAUCACUCAUCAGGCCACGCUGAGGUGGCGUCCCACUUGCCAUAACUAGAAGGACCUACAACUAGAAUAUACAACUAUGUACUGGGGG
ensembl:lncRNA